rnacentral:rRNA from 1 species
GGCGGUGGUUUAACUGCCUUAGGAAUUUGCCCUGUAAUCGAUAGUCCCCGAGGAACCCCUUUARAUUUGCAGUCAACUUGUAUACCGCCGUCAUCAGGAAAUUUUCAGAAAGUAUUUUCUAGGCCUCGUGAGAGAAGAUGUCAGGUCAAGGUGCAGUUAAUGUCUAAGUAGAGGUGAAUUACAAUAAAAGAAUUUAAUACGGAAGGUUUCAUGUAAUAAGACCGGAAGGUGGAUU